GCAUCUAGUUUACUGUUAUUUUUAAAUGAGUGAAUGACAUGUUUCUACUAUUUGAGUGCUUUAUAAUUAUUUUACUAUUUUAUUAAUAUUGCAACUUUACAUAUAUGUAAGAUUUUUUGUUGAGAGGAACUAUAUACGCAAGAUGGUAACCAUUACUUGCUGAUAAUGUUUUCCAAAAGCUUUGCUUGCUCUUGCAAUAAUUUGAGAGCUUCACUUCACUAACUGCUUCUAUGCAUGUAUCACUUCCAACAAAUUUGAUUUUUUGCCCUUCUUGAUUCCACUUACUUUGCCCAUCACAAUCACCCAA
rnacentral:lncRNA from 1 species